rnacentral:lncRNA from 1 species
GGAUAUAGAGGGGAAAUAAAAUUUUAAUUAGAUUGAGAAUGGGUUGAAUAAGGAUAUGCCCACAUAUCAAAAUGGAAAUUAGGCUCAACUUAGUUCAUUAGUAUAAACAAAGUUAGAAAAAAUCAAAAAAUGUUACUAUCCAUAAGGCAGAUAAAUAGGGAAUGAUGACAUUAGACUGGUGACGAUGAUUGUUUGUCCUUAUUAGUUCAUGUGAUUUUCUUUGUGCUUAUUUUUUGAAUUUCUUAAAAAUAUUUUUCUAGAUCACCUUGAAUAAAUAUUUUACCUAUAGUGAUAGAAUCAUUGAUGUUUCUUAUUGGACCUUCCUGCAAUUUUAUCUCUCUCUUUUUAAUUAGAUUUUGAUCUUGCACCUUCAUAUGAACAUUCCUCAAUAUCAUUACGUUAAAUAUUUGAGUGAUAAGCAUAAUUUUUUGAUGGAUCAAAGUUAAAGGGUGAAUACUUAGGGAUCCAUCCCCUUCUCAAUUGUACAAUACCUUAGGAACUCAGUCUUUCAAAUAUGCUCUCCAAUGGCUCGAUCAAAGGAGUAAAGGUAUGAGGCCUCAUUCUUUUUGGUUGAUGAAAAUCACCUUGUACUGGGUAUAAAAAUGUUGCAAUUUUUAUUGUGUAUUAGUAACCUCAUUUUCAAAACUUUAUUGGAAAUAUUAGGGUUGAAUCUGAUAAGCCUCACAUUGAGAAUCUUGGGAAUCAUAAGGUUCGGGAUGCUCAUUAUGAGAAUCAAACACAACAUGGACUUCUUCAUUAUUCUGAUAGCAUUGUGGAUGAGAAAUGGAGGGUGAUAAAUCCUCUUUUCUUUGUUCAUGUGGAAUCUUUGGUGCUUGAAAAGUGCUUGCCAUUGUAGAAACAUCAAUAAUUAUUCUAUUCUGAAUACGAUAUUCUAAAUUUUUUUUGAUUGAAAUCUUUGAGUCCAAGUAUUUAUUCUAACUUAUUUUCGAUUUAAAUCAGAAUCUCAAAACUAUGAAAUAUUAAGAAGUACAAUUAUCGAUAGUAUAUUCUAUCUAGCGACUUGAUGAAAGUUUGGAUUAUCUCUUCUUCAUUUAUAGAAGGAGGUAUUUUAGAAGCUUCCAAUCAACAUUGUAUUUCAUAUUACUCAAAAUAUUCAUGAGUCAUUCUCUUCACCUCAAGAAAAACCUACAUUGUUCGAUCAACCUUGAUGUUAAAUUUAUAUUUCCCUAUAAAAUCUUGAUCCAUGUCUUCCCAUGUAUUCCAUUUAUCAAGGUCUUGUUUGGCGAAUCAAGUGAGUUCCAUCCUUUACAAACUUUGAAUAAUUAAUCUCAUUAGAAGAGCCUCAUUAUGUCCUAUUCCAACUAAUCUAUUGUCCUUUACAUCUUCGAUUAGAUUUUCAUGUUCAUCAAACAUGUUGAACUUUGGGACUUUGUAUCAUAGAGAUAAAUUAGUCAUUGGAUGUAGACACAGUUUCUCAUACCUCAAGUUAUGAUACAUUUGUAAUGUAGAUUCUCAUACAACCUAUUUUCUAAUCCAUGAAUCUUUUGCCGAUGUGUAUCUAAAUUGACUCUCUCACUUCCAAGAGUGGUGCGUGUUGAAGGAAACUAUUGAGAGGGUGUGUAAGUAAGAUUAGAAUAAAUAUUACAAUGCAAAAAUUUAUUUUUAUUGGAUUAGAAGAAAGAAGUAUGGAAUCUUUCUGGAUAUUGAGUAUAUUUAUCAUAUUGUAUAUUUUUAAUUGUGUCAAUGUUCAAAUUCGAGACAAACUUUAAAUAAAAAUAGAAAAAUAAACAAAAUAAGAGUAAAUGUACUUAAUAAUAAAAUCGAGAGUAAUAAAAUAUGAGCUAUCUUGUCAAAUAGGACUUUAGGAUGAAGAGGUUGGUUAGAACUUAAUCUUUAGAAAUGAACUGAUAACAAAAGAUAAAGAUACACUCUAUCCAAGACCUAAAUACAAAGUUCAUACUUAAAGUUGAUGGAGUGAACUAGUAAUAAUGAUACGAUAUUUAAAAAAAUAUGCAUAUAAUAUUUAACGAAACUUUAUUUGAAAAACUGGGAGGGUUGAUGUAUUUGAAAAAUUUUGUGAAAAAAUAGAAGAGUUAGCCCAACUGAAACAUUUAGUGUGAAACGAUUGAUAAUUUAAAAGAUUGCAAAAAAUGAUUUGAAUAAUUCAAAAAUGGUGUAGUUUUUGCCCUUUUUAUAAGAUGGGGAUAUUUGAAAUAAGAGGAAAAAGCAAGGAGUUUUACAUGGAAAAAAAAAUGCAUAAGUAUUAAGAGAGAAGAAAAACCUACAAAAAAUACAAAUUCUGAAAAAUAGAGGGAAUGUGAAAAAUGAUAUUGAGAGAAAAAAUAAAUUAUACAAAAACAUGCAUGAGAAAUAAUUUGUCAGGAAGAAAAUUUGAUAAGAAAAAAAAACUAAUGAAAAUAAGGUAAGGUAACAUACAUUAAGUUUAAAGAAGUGAUAGAUUAGACAAAUUAAUAUCUCAUAAUGCACAUAAGUUAUGAGAGCAUUCUUUUUUGGAUUAUGAAGUCCCUUGGAACUUAGGGAAACACUUUUAUUAACAAGAAAUCCUACGUUUAGGAUGGAUAGUCCUUAUUAAAGGAAUAAGUGGUUGAGAUCUGGAAUAAGACUGGUUUCUUGACAGAGUCCCUUCAAGCGGACAAUUUGAAAGCAGUAAAGUUUAUGAUUAUCGAUGCACCAAUGGAUGACUGAUUCAUGAGAUAUUUUUUAUAAGUAUUUUUGGAAAAUAAACAUAGUUCAACCAUGCAACCAUGCUUAAAACAAGAAAAGUGGUUCCAAGUGGAUGAAGAUAUGAGUAAAAUGUCAGUUAUAUAAAGUUGUAAACCAUAACACAUAAUGAAAAGUAUGAACACAUUGAACUGUAUAAAAAAUAAAUAAAUGCAGAAUUUAAGAGAUAUUGGUAAAUAAGACAUAACACAUAUUUGCACAAAAGAGAAAAGAAUAAUAGACGACAUGACCUAUUAGAAAACCAAAUAAACCAAUAAAUAAGUUGAUUAAAAAGUAGAAAUGAAAAAUCAAAAUGCCAAAAACAACCUCAGCUGGUAGUUUCUCUGCCAGUGGUUAGCAACUUGCUAUAUCUACUGAGGAGAUGAAGAUGUAGGCUAGAUACUUAAGAUUAGUUCAUCAAAGAUUUUCUAGUGCCCUGAGUGAAGAUGUGUAUGAGUUUCUAAUUGCUUGUGAGGACAUGAUCCAUAAUUUGGGCUUUGCUGAGAUUCGUGGUGUGGAUUACCCAUAUUUUAGUUAGACUUCUAGACCAACUGGAUCUUUUCCUUUAACAUGGACCUAGUUCUUUUAGAUGUUCUUAACGUAUAUAACUCACAGCCUUAGGGAUUAUCUGAGAGAUCAAUUCUCUAAAUUGGAGCAGGGAUCUAUGAUAGUUGUAGAGUAUGAGUCUCAUUUUAAUGAGUUGGUUAGGCAUCCGAUUUCUAUUCUUGAUACUGAGUAUGAGAGAGUUUAUUUCUUUACUAGAGGGUUGAUACUUCCUCUACAUAUAUUUACUCAGAGUUUGGUUGUUAUAGGUAGGACUUUUUCUGAGGUUUACGAUCUUGCUCAACUUAUGGAGGAGAUGAUUCAUAAGGCUCGUAGGGGUAGUGAUAAAAGACCUAGAUAGUAGGGCUAUUUUGGUGGGUGACGUAGUACUUCUCAAUUCAAAAGUAGUCUUUCUCAUUGUCGAUAUUCAUAGCAUCUAUCCUAUCAUCCCCAAAGUUAGUCUAGUCGACCAAUUUCGGUAGUGCUUCAAAUUAUAGAUAGAUCUUAGUCUAGUGCUAGUAAUUUUAUUUGUCAGGGAAGGAGUCAGUCUUCGCGUGGCGCAUUUUCUGGUUAUUCUAGUAGCGGUGUUUAUUCUUGGUCAAUCAGAUUUUCUUGUUCUGGUUUAACUUAUGUGUAUGUUAUAGUAGUGGAGCUCCUAAGCAUAACUCACGAGAUUCCCUUUUCAUGGGGCGAUUCUUGCUUUAGCUUAUAGUGUUCCUCAUAAAUAGUAUUUUAUCCCUCAGCUAGUGGUGGUUCUCAAGGUCGUAGAAGUGGUUUCCAGGGUACUCAAAGAGGUUCUCAAGUAUGUAGGACAGGAGGUCAAUGAGGAGCGCAGCCAGGUGGCGGGCAUGGUCAGUUGUAUUCUUUACUUGCUAGGACUUAGGAGGAGGAGUCGAAUGCUUCUAUUACAGGUACAAUUUUUUUGUUCCAUCAGUCAACCCUUUAUUUAUUAGAUUUGAGAUGCACUUAUUCUUAUGUUUCUACUUAUUAUGCUCUAUGGUUAGAGUUAUCUUUAUAUUUUCUAGCUAUUUCCUUAUGUGUAUCAACACUCAUGGGUAAUUCUUUAGUAGUGGAUUGAGUUUUAAGAUCAUGUGCUAUAGUGGUCAGCGAUGUUGAUACUCAUGCAGAUCUUAUUAUUAUUGAGAUAGUGUAUUUUUAUGUGAUUCUAGGAAUGGACUGGUUAUCACAAUAUUAUUUUGUAGUUUGUAUGUUUCUUGUUGUGUUCCCUACCGACCUGCCUAGUGUUCCCCUUGCCCGUGAGAUUGAGUGUGCUAUUUAUCUUCAGCUUGAAACCCGAUUUAUUCGUAUGGAUUCUUACCCUAUGGAUCCUACUGAGCUUAAGGAGUUGAAUUCUCAGUUCUAGGAUCUUCUUAGUAAGGGUUUUAUUAGAUCGAGUGUUUCUUCUCGGGGAGAUUCAGUGUAGUUUGUCAAGAAGAAAGAUGAGUCCAUGCGUAUGUGUACUAAUUAUAGAUAUCUUAAUAAGGUCAUAGGGAAGAACCAUUAUCCUAUGCCUCGCAUUGAUGACUUGUUUGACCAGAUUCAGUAUAAAGCAAUGUAUUCUAAGAUUGAUUUGAGAUCAGAUUACCAUCAGUUAAGGAAUUUGUGAUGAGGAUAUCCUGAAGAUAUAUAAUACCCCAAAAAAUCCAAACCAAUAUUAGAUCUAUGUACCAAACUCAUGCAUAGUACAUCAUGGUUCUUUUAUAGUUUUAUAAGUAGGAUAGAUGUAUAUUAAAAGGCUUUAAAUAACUCCCAGCUAUCAGAUGAAUCAAAACAUUCCUCAUCGAUUGAAUUCUCGAGAAAUAUAUUUCCAUAGUCAGAUUGAAUCAAGCAUAUCUCUCAUUAUACUUUGAAUUUUUGAGAUCAUGACCUGUAAAACGAUAUAUAAUUGAAUUAUCUUUCCAGCGAUACCAAUUUCUCCUAAAUCCUAUAUCGAAGCAAAAAGUUAUUCUUAUUUUACUCUAGUAUGUCAGGCUGGAAACAAUGUGACGACAUUCGUGGUAUCUUACCACAUUUGUGACGCCCUAUCACAAAGGUCGUCAGCCUCAGGCAGAAACCAGCUCUUAAGUGACAACAUUCGUGGUAACUUACCACAUUUGUGAUGCCUUGACAUAAAUGUCGCCAACCUUAGGCAGAAAGCAGCACCUAAGUGAUGACAUUCGUGGUAGCUUACCACAUUUGUGAUGCCUUGUCACAAAUGUCGUCAGACUUAGGAAGAAACAAUCAACUCCAACUCCUUUGUGACGACAUUUAUUAUGGCUUACCACAUUUUUGAUGCCUUGUCACAUAUGUCAUCUGCUAUGAUUUUCAGCAACUAGGAAUUUAUUUCAUAAGGGUAUUUUGGUCUUUUCAUUAACCUUCUACGACUUAUAACCCAAAAGAGGCAUAAUUUUUCCUAUUUUUCUAUAGUUAAGCAUCUUAAAACCCCUCUCUUACACUGUUAACUACAAGAUUACGAUAUUCUCUCAAGAUCAUCUGCUCAAGAGCAAGCUAAGGAAUUCUUCAAGAACCUUCAGAAACAUUAGAUCUCUUUCAAGAUUUAAUCACUAAGUUAUGCAUAGUGUUUAUCUGUGGAUCCAAUCCUUUCAUAGAGCUCAAGAACCAUGUUUUAAAUAUUAUUUUGUAAACUUUUUGUGGUGAUAUGAGUAUGUACAUGUUGACUAUUAUUGUUUAAGUUUCAAUGUGGUGUCUAAAGGUGUUUUCAUGGAAUAUAUAUGUUUGUUAUUUGAAAAUCAUGAACUUUAGGUGGUUUAAUAUAGUGCAAGUAUGAAAAUCACCUAUGCCUUAAAUAAUGCAUGCAAGGUGUUUGAUAAAAUGCUUAGAAUGCUAGAAAUUCAUGUUUGUAUGGUUCUAUGAUGUCUAAAUUAUAAGUCCAUGUUAGCUAUAUACUUGAAUAUGAAUCCCAUGAUUUUCAUGUAUUGCUAUUAUGUUGGUAUGAAGCAUGUAAGAUAAUGGAGAUAUACAAUAUGUACAUGAAAUAUAUCCAUGCAUUCCCUACAAUAUCUAAGAUGUUGAAUAACUAUAUGAAAUAUGAUACCCUCUACUUAUGAUAUUAUGAAUUGUGGACUCAAAUCUUGUGGUCAAGUUAUGUCAUGCAUAUCAUUUUCUUUCUAUCAAGUCCUGUGGGUAUUCGUAUAGAAUUUUAGAGAAUAUGAGAAAAAUAAUUUUAUGGGUAUUUUCCUAAAAGUUCAUAUGUGGUUAUAAUGAUAGGCUUGAAUGUCAUGUUGGUAUAUAAGUGGAUGAGUGAAUUGUGAGCUAGUGAAUUCCUCGUAAGAGGUUUAAUUUAGUUAUUGGAGUGGUAGGAAAAAUUAUCCUUGAGAUGAGAGCUGUAAAAACAUAUGAGGUAUUCAAUUCAUGGUUCAGACUAGUAUUAUGGUGUUAUGUACAGUACCUUGUGAUUUCGAGUUAGGCUUGAACAUGGUAAGAGUAUGUAGCUCAACUCAAACUUUGGUGGGAGUAGUUAUAUGUACCCAUACGAGUAUUUAAGGAGCGAGGUUAAGAUUGAAUUGGGUAGUUGCAUUUCCUAAGGUCUAGUAAUUCUAUCCUAGCUUAUGUUUCAUAGGCCUAUGUUCUAUGUUACAAAGUUAUAGCUAUAUUACGAUUCCUUACUUAGAUAUCUCUCUCAGAUCAUGCUUGAGACUCUUUGUCUCCCUAACGUUAUGAGAACUUCUUAGAAAAAGUGUUAAAGGAAUACUCUACUUGAGUAUAAGCUUUAGUAUAAUUCAGUCUGUAUAACCAGCAAUUCAGUUUAGCAAUCAGACAGAUAAUCUCCUAUGAUUUUUCAUCUUUCUAUCCAGUCUUACUAUCUAAAGUUUCAUGAAUAUGGAGAUAAUUUGUUUGCAUAUAUGUAAGGUGCUUAGUUCAGCCCAAGCAUCAUGUUUCAGAUCAACUAUUUAGUCAUGACUUAGUACAUAAGUAUUAAGUGCAUGAUCGUAAAUUCCCAAGUAUUCCAGCUCAGACAUUAUGGUACCCAUUUUACGAACUUGGUCUCGUUAUCUCAUGAUUCGAGCUUACAUAAUGUACUUGGCGGUGCCAUGAAACCCUCUUCUUUUGAUUCUUAUUCAUGUUUUGUUAAGGAAUAAUUCCUAAUAAGAAGUUACAUACUUUGUUCUAUCCUUAGUGACUCUUGGAAUUUUAUUGCAUCAGUUGCCACUUUGCAGUUCUAUAUGUAUGAUCAUAUCAUGAACAUUUCAUGUGAGUUCUAAUCUCUUAGUAUGAAUUAGUCAGAUCAGAAAUUAGUUUCAUGAUAAAAGUUUUAUAUUUUAGCUUAUUAAUAUUCAAUAUACGCUCUCAGUAACCUUAGUAUCUCAGCUUAACUAGUUUCAUUUGAGGAUGAAUGGUCCCAAGAGGCAGAUAUUGUAAUACCCGAUAAGAUUCUAAGCUUUAUUCAGCUUUUGGUUGCAUGUUUAAGGGGUCCAGGUUUAAAUGUUUACUAAGUGUUGAGGACUUAGUUAUUUUAAAGACCCCAACAUUUUAUAGAUUUUAUUUUUGGACUUCCCAAACCCAAGACUUUGGUUUUUGAUUUGUAAAAUAUUUAGAGAUGUUAAAGGUAUGUCUCAAAAGAGUUUCAAAAUUUUUGGAUGGGAAUUGGGGCAUGUUUGGACCAUGAAGGCAGUAAUCCUCCAUGAUAAGGCCAUGUCGCGGAGGCUAUUCCCCUGAUAUAGGUCCAAGCUACGUAUGCUAUUCCCCUAAUAUAGGGUCUAUGGCUCGUAGUCUAUUCCCCUGAUAUAAGGUCUAUACUGUGAUGUUGGGUGCAUUUAUACAUUGUAGUGUCACUAUUCUAAUCUUUUUUGCCUUAUUUUGAGGAUAAUUCUUGUUCUUAAUGUGUUAAUAAUGAGAUAAAUGUGUAUCUAAGUGACAGUUUUUGUGUUUAUAAUGUUUAAUGAUGUUUUCAAACAAGGUUUGAUUCAAAUUGAUCAUUUAGAAUUCAACCGAGAAAACCAGUGUGACUAGCUUAAGCUAGGUAUUUGUCUAGUCUAUCGUGUUGUGUUAUAACAUGAUUAAUGAGUUCUUGAGGUUGUUAUUAUGUAUUUAUAUAUGAAACAACUUCAUUAUAAUGUUCAAGGUUAAUUGGAUCAAAACAAGAGUCAAAACAAUGAGCUAAAGAUCAAAGUGAAUGAAGCCUAGUCUUAGAUCAUGUUUCAAGUUUGUCAUUUUGGAUGUUGUGUUGUUUUGAGCUUUAAAUUAUAGUGUUUAAUUCUAUAGGAUGCUUUGUGAAUCGAUUUUAAUGAUAUAUGAAUGAUAUAAAGCUUCAAAUCAAGUAAAAACAACUCAAAAAGGCUUGGAAUGAAUCACGGGAGCAUAAUAUGCAACUUGAUGCAAAUUUGGACACUUGAAAUGUCCAGGGAGGGAAGGGUGCAUGGGAAGGCUUUUUGGAGAAUGCAGCAUUCCAAAUGGUUUAGAAUUCACCAAAACAGUGAACCAAGGUGAUAUGGAGAUGACUUUUUGCCUGGAGCGGCGCUUAACCCAGGGCGCAACCUUGCCUGGAGCGGGACUAUAGCCAAGGCGGUGCCCUCUCCACUCCCGGGCUCAAUAACUGAAUGUUUCCAACUCCAACAUGGACUUGGAUUGCUCCUAUACUAUAAAUACAUGUUAUAUCAAGUUUUUACAUACUUUUGGACAUCUUUGGACAAUUGGAGGCUGCUCUUCACAUUCUUUAAGGCUUUAUUUUCUUAACUUUAGUUUCUUUCAUGAUUUGUAUCAUCAAUCCAGGGGAUUGGAUGAUGAGUAUUUUCAUUAAAGGCUAAAAAUCCUUUUCUAGGGUUGAGGCCAAGAUCAUGAUUAUUUUGUUUUGAAUUAUUUUUUUUGAAUUUCUUAUCAUUAUGGUUGUUUGUUUACCCUUGUUAUAACUAUUUUGAGGAUUCAUGGCCCUUAGAAUAUAUUAAUUAUCGAUCUUGUAAUCUCGGGAGGGGGAAUAGGAAGAUAGAACAUGGGGUAGCUAGAACAAGGUUUUUAUUCUUUUAUAAAAUAAGGAAUUUGAAUUAGCAUCUUGGAUAGAAAAAUACCUAGAAGUCUUGUUUGAUUCAAAUAUAGGAUGAUAGCUUCAAAUCACCUAGUUGGAUUAUUACACCCCUGCUCAAUGAUGUAGCUGUAAUAUCUAAAUUAGGUAAAUAGUUAGAGGUCGAGAGACCAUGAACAUGUGAUUACCCCUACGAAUCAACAACCAAGAUAAUCAAUUUAAUGAAUGAAAUUCAAUAACGUAGUACGAUUGUUCAUAAGCCUUAACCCUGGAUCUCUGUCCUUUGAUUGUCCAAAGUCAUUUACUUUUCUGCAUUAGUUUAGUUUGCUUUUAGUUUACAACUCCAAAACUUUAUUUGAUACUUAUCGCAGUUGUUAAACUAGAAUUGGAUAGUUGUCAACACAAGUCCUAUGGGAUUGAUAUUCGGCUUUCUUGAAGGCCACUAUAUUACUUGGUAGACUACAUACACUUGCGUGUGCGUUUGAGAACUAUCAAGUUUUUUAUGCCAUUGCUGGGGACUUGUAAAUUGGCAACUAUCUUAGUUUUAGAUUUUCUAUAUUUAGUUGUAAAUAGCUUUUGUUUAGUUUCUUUUUAUUUUUUUUAUUUCUGUUUUUAUCACACUUCUUGAUAUGUUAGCCUGUGAUAGAUGGUUUUCGAGUGAUGAUGAUUCCUGUUGUUUUUAUGGGGAACCACAUUAUGAGGCUUAUUGUCAAGAUUUUGAUAGACGUGCAUGGAUGGGACCUUUAUAAUAUGAAGCGAAUAAUGUUCUAUUUGUGGAGCAGAUUGCAACUUGGUGUUUGGUUUGUGGUCAAAGUGGUCAUAUUGCAGCUAUGUGUGCUGUCAAUCUUGAUUUAGAAUUGUUUGUGGGCUAUGCUGAAAGGUAAAACUAUAUAAACAACUAUAAUCAAACGGUGCAGAAUCAACCACAAAUUCAAUCAUGGAACAAUCAGUAGCAAUAACCAAACAUGCAGGCCAUAACUUAAACUACCAAAUUGGAGGAGAUGCUGAAACAACUUUUAGCAUCUCAAGUACAGUUGUUGGCAGACAUGAAGAACCAUCGGGGGGCUGCAAAGCAAUUGUAUAAUCAGCUGGAGGUAGAUGCAGAGUUGACUCCCUAACCAGUUGCAUAUAAAAUUGUUGAUAAUUUGAGAAAGUCUGAGUACUCAGAAACUAAAGUUGUUGAACAGGUUAAGGAGAUACCACCACCACCAUGUCCAUAGAUGCUAAGAAAAUAAAUAUAUGAAGAUGAUACUAGUCAAUCCAUGGAACAAACACAAGAAUCACAGCCACUCGACUGUCAUCUUUCUUUUGAGACUGAAAUUGAGUAGGUGAAAAUAAGUGAAGGUGUUGUGGAUUGUAUAAAUUUUGAAGUGGGAUUAGUUGGUCCUUAUUCAAAGCACUACUUAUUUGUGGAAUCAUCUGAAAUAGUAGGAGAGCUUGAAGAUGAGUGAAAAGAAUCCUAUAUUCUUAAUUUGCACAAGAAAAACAACAUAAAAACACACCUCAAUUCAAGGCCGAGUGGUUUACCAUUCACACCCCAUUAUUUGAUUCCUUAAUCUUUGUACCACCUCCCUAUGAUUGAGGUAAAAAGAUGGAUGUGAUAUUGAGGGUGAAAUUUAUAUCCACAAUAAGGAGGAAAAAGUUGAUUGGGUCGUGCCACAACACUAAAGUAGGCGCUUCUUGGGAUAAAACCCAAGUAAAGUUAAGUAGGUAUGUUUAAUUUUUCAGUUUUUAGUUUUUUUACUUCACGUAGUUUUUGUUUUUGUUGAGUCACAGGUUGAUGGGACGUUGAGUACCAGAAACUUGAGCAAAGAAGCAUAGUAAAAAAUGAGUGUGGGGUCCCAUGGACUGUCUUUAUGUGUAAAGAUGCUACUAUCUAGGACUAGAGGCCUCAUGGAGUAUUUCUAUCUCUUACUUUAAAAGUUCACUUUGGGGACAAAGUAUAUUUUUAAGUGUGGGGUGGGGAAAUUUUCAAUUUUUGGCUCAAUUUAAAAUUUUUUAGGUUGGGAAUAAGUGAUAUAUUCUUGUUGGUGCUAUUUUUGAUUGCAUGGUGCAAGUGUUUUAUUUGGUAAAAGCAUGUUGAAUGAGUGAAUUACUACUUUUGAGACUCCUAGGCUCAUGUUUGUGACUCUUGUACUUUUUGUCUUAAAUUUGAAUUCACGCUAUUAUUUGGUUGGGAUUCUAUGAUGAUCCUAUUGAGUUGAGCAUGUGCCAUGUGCGUGUAAGGUUGUUGUAUAUUUCUUAUUGCAUGUGAUGUCUAGAAUUUGCCCAGUGUGUGUGUAAAGCAAAAUAAAGAGUGUGGGUUUAGGAGAUGAUUUAGGCAUUUCUUUAAUAGCCUUGUUUUAUAUCUUCUAUUUGUCCUACCCUUUGUGUAUUAUCCUUGUUAACCCGUAUUGAGCCUUUAGCAUUUUCUUUGGUAGCUGCAAAAGUAGCCUAGUCCCUUCUUUGAUAGACCUUAAUUUGAUUCAAAAAGCUCCUAAGUUGUUUAAUAAAAAGAAAUGAAUUUGAGAAAGGAGUUUUAGAUAUUGAAGAAUAAAAAGGUGAAAUUGAUGCCCCAAGGUAAUAGUUAUUGGUGUUUAUAUUUGAUUUGUGGUGGUUGGGAGUGAUAUAAAUGGUGUUAGAAAUAUUCUCAUAGUUGUAGAAAAUGAGAAAAAUUGAAUGUUGAAGGAAUAAACAAUACACCCACCAAGUGUUCAUGAAAAUGCUUAAAAGAGAUGGGGCAAAAAUAAAGGUGAUGGGUGGAUGAAAGAGAGUAAUUUGGUUGUUGAAGAUUGGUUUUAAAUGUAUAAUGUAGUGUGUUAAAGAGCUUAGAGAGGUUAGUCACUAUUCUUAAAUAGUUCCUACCCAUCCCUUAGCCUACAUUACAACCCGGAAAAGAACUAUUUGAUCCUAUACUUGACAUUCUAAUAUUAGUAGAGCACUACACUAAGGGAAAUCCUAUGGUUCAUUUUGGGUAACUUGUGAAUUCCUUGUGAGAGUGAGUGUAAUUUGAUUCUUGUACCCAUCGUGUUAUGAAUUGCUUAAUUGUGAGAUAUUAUAGAUAACUCUCUUAUUGUGAGGGACACAUUUUUGAUUAACAUGGUGAUUUGUAGGAUGUCCUUGAUUGAAUGAUAAGCAUGAUUUUGACAACUAGGUGAGUCAAUUCUUGAGGCUAGGAUUUUUUGGAUUAGGAUUCUUGAGCUUUCAAUUAACAUUCAUAGUUUUGUAAACUUGCAUUCCAUAUAGUCAUUUUAGUACUAGCUUGAGUUUCUUACAUGUAGUAAAAGUAUGGAGUCUCUUCAGCUUAUGAUGCUUAUAGUCAAGAAUUGUUUGAGGACGAACAAGGCUUUUAAGUGUGGGGUGUAUUUAUGCAUUCUAGUGUCACUAUUCUAGUCUUUUUGGCCUUGUUUUGAGGAUAAUUCUUGUGCUUAAUGUGUUGAUAAUGAGAUAAAUGUGAAUCUAAGUAUCCAUGUAUGUGUUUAGAAUUUUUAAUGAUAUUUUCAAACAAGUUUUGAUUCUAAUUGAUCAUUUAUGAUUCAACUAAGAAAACUAGUGUGACUAGAUUGAGCUAGGUGUUUGUCUAGUCUAUCAUGUUGGGUUCUAACGUUAUUAAUCAGUUAUUAAGGUUGUUAUUGUGAAUUUAUUUGUGAAACAACUUCAUUAUAAUAUUCUAGGGUUAAUUGGAUCAAAACAAGAAUCAAAACAAUGAGCUAAAGAUCAAAGUGAAUGAAGCCUAGUCUUAGCUCGUGCUCUAGUUCAUCGUGUUUGAUGUUGUGUUGUUUUGAGCUUUAAAUUGUUGUGUUUAAUGCUAUAGGAAUCUUGGUGAAUGAUUAUUAUGAUAUAUGAAGGAUAUACAAUCUUCAAAUCAAUUGGAAACAACUCAAAAAGGAUUGUAAUGGAUCACAAAAGCACAAUAUGCAGCUUGAUACAAAUUUGGACACCUAAAAUGUCUAGGGAGAGUGAGGGAGAAUGGGAAGGAUUUUUGGUGCAUCCAGCUCUCCAAAGUGUUCAAAAGGCACCAGAACAGUGAACCAAGGUGAUAUGGAGGCGACGCCUUUCCUGGAGCGGUGCUCAACCUAGGGCGGCUCCCUCUCCACUCCCGGGCUCAAUAACUGAACAUUUCCAACUGCAACAGGUCUUGGAUUGCUCCUAUACUAUAAAUACAUGUUAUAUCAUAUUUUUACAUACUUUUGGACAUCUUUGGACAAUUGGAGGCUGCUCUACACAUUCUUUAGGGUUUUAUUUUCUUACCUUGAGUUUCUUUCAUUGUUUGUAUCAUCAAUCCAAGGGAUUGUAUGAUGAAUAUUUCCAUUAAAGGCUAAAACUCCUUUUCCAGGAUUGAGGCCAAGAUCAUGAUUAUUUCAUUUUGAAUUAAUUUUGUUGAAUUGCUUAUCAUUAU